GGAGAGGUGCCGGAGCGGCCGAACGGGCACGACUGGAAAUCGUGUAGGGGUGCAAGCCUCUCGCGGGUUCGAAUCCCGCCCUCUCCGCCA
rnacentral:tRNA from 4 species